rnacentral:rRNA from 1 species
UACGUAGGGUGCAAGCGUUGUCCGGAAUUAUUGGGCGUAAAGAGCUCGUAGGCGGUUUGUCGCGUCUGCUGUGAAAUCUGGGGGCUCAACCCCCAGCCUGCAGUGGGUACGGGCAGACUAGAGUGCGGUAGGGGAGAUUGGAAUUCCUGGUGUAGCGGUGGAAUGCGCAGAUAUCAGGAGGAACACCGAUGGCGAAGGCAGAUCUCUGGGCCAUUACUGACACUGAGAAGCGAAAGCAUGGGGAGCGAACAGG